AUGAACGCUAGCUACAGGCAUAACACAUGCAAGUCGAGGGGCAGCAUUAUCGAAGCUUGCUUUGAUAGAUGGCGACCGGCGCACGGGUGCGUAACACGUAUCCAAUCUACCCAUGGCUCAGGGAUAGCCUUCCGAAAGAAAGAUUAAUACCUGAUGGUCUGCGGUCGAGACAUCUCCUCCGCAGUAAAGAUUCAUCGGCCAUGAAUGAGGAUGCGUCCGAUUAGGUAGUAGGCGGGGUAACGGCCCACCUAGCCGACGAUCGGUAGGGGUUCUGAGAGGAAGGUCCCCCACAUUGGAACUGAGACACGGUCCAAACUCCUACGGGAGGCAGCAGUGAGGAAUAUUGGUCAAUGGUCGAAAGACUGAACCAGCCAAGUAGCGUGAGGGAUGAAUGCCCUACGGGUUGUAAACCUCUUUUGUUUGGGAAUAAACACAGGCUCGUGAGCCUGCUCGAAUGUACCGGACGAAUAAGCAUCGGCUAAUUCCGUGCC
rnacentral:rRNA from 1 species